AGCGAACGCUGGCGGCAGGCUUAACACAUGCAAGUCGAGCGGGCACUUUCGGGUGUCAGCGGCGGACGGGUGAGUAACGCGUGGGAACGUGCCCUCUGGUUCGGAAUAACUCAGGGAAACUUGAGCUAAUACCGGAUACGCCCUUUUGGGGAAAGGCUUGCUGCCGGAGGAUCGGCCCGCGUCUGAUUAGCUAGUUGGUGAGGUAACGGCUCACCAAGGCGACGAUCAGUAGCUGGUCUGAGAGGAUGAUCAGCCACACUGGGACUGAGACACGGCCCAGACUCCUACGGGAGGCAGCAGUGGGGAAUAUUGGACAAUGGGCGCAAGCCUGAUCCAGCCAUGCCGCGUGAGUGAUGAAGGCCUUAGGGUUGUAAAGCUCUUUUAUCCGGGACGAUAAUGACGUUACCGGAGGAAUAAGCCCCGGCUAACUUCGUG
rnacentral:rRNA from 1 species